ACAGACUAUGAACAUCUUUAAGGCUCUAGACACAUACUAUGAAAUUAGUUGCUAGAAAAUCUGAGAUAAAUUAUGUUGCCAGUACUAAAUAUAGUUGUGCCUGUCUUCUGGCAAUGAUUUUUUGUUUGUGUAAUCUCUGCCAAAUCAUCAGGAGAGAAAUUUUUCCAGUAGUUUGUUAUUGUUCUCUCACCAAAUUACCACCAAUUUGAGACAUAAAACAAUACUCUUAUUAUCUUAGCGUUCUAUGGAUCAGAAGUUCAGGCACAGUAUGGUUCAGCUGUGUCUCUGGUCCUGGUUUCGCAAGGCUGAAAUCAAAGUGUGGUGAUAAGAGACCAAGUCUUUAUGGAAACACCACCAGUAACUGAGAGCUCAGAAGACUGAGGCAUUCGCUCUAAAAUGAAGCUGCCCUGGAUUUUCCAAGGCAGGCAUCUGACACCUUUAACAACAAAGGAAAGAACACAUAUAGGAAGAACAUAAUAGUCUCAUGUAUGGAUAAAUGGUGAAAAGCAAUCAAUGUAUUCAUCAAAAUACUACUGUGAUGAGAAACAAGGUAUAAAAACACUGAAGCCUUCUAGAAGAAAACAAUCUAUUUCUGUAGACAUGAUCUAAACCUUGGAACAAUUGUAAAAUCUGUCCUGUGUCAAUACUUAAUGAAUUGCUCAAUGAAUUCUACAGGUAGUAAUAGCCAAUAAACAUUUGAAGUGGAGAGAUCAAUGAAGAAUGGAGCAGUAAAAGAAAGCCUAAUGAAGGAGGUACUCCUAGAAAGUCAGCUAACAAAUCAAAAACUGAUCUAAGACAAAUGGCAUUCAGAAAAGAUUCCUCUUUCCUCUUCUCCCCACUUCUCUUCCUCCUCCAAGCCAGACUGGGAUACAAGUAAUAUAUAUAAAACAUUCCAGCAGCUCACAUUAAUGAGUUCAUGAAAACCUAAUCGUUAUCUACCCUCUAUAUUAAAAUUCUAUCUCACAGGUUAA